CCCUUAGAUGUUCUGGGCCGCACGCGCGCUACACUGAUCAGUGCAACAAGCAUCCGUCCUUGGCCGACAGGCCCGGGCAAUCUUUGAACGCUGAUCGUGAUGGGGAUAGACUUUUGCAAUUUUUGGUCUUCAACGAGGAAUUCCUAGUAAACGCAAGUCAUCAACUUGCAUUGAUUACGUCCCUGCCCUUUGUACACACCGCCCGUCGCACCUACCGAUUGAAUGGUCCGGUGAAGCGUUCGGACCGUGGCCUUUGGACGGUUCGCCGUCUGUUGGCUGCGGGAAGUUCGUUAAACCUUAUCAUUUAGAGGAAGGAGAAGUCGUAACA
rnacentral:rRNA from 1 species